UAAAGCGUUAUGAGAAUAAUCUUGAAAUUGCAAUGGUACUAAAGUUGUUGUACUCCCUCUGCUUCUCCAUGUGCCCUGUAUGUUGUCUUGCGACUUCUAGGAAACACAAUGUGAGUGGAAAUGUGUUGCAUCCCACCUGGAUUCCCUAUGUUGCGUCGAAAGCUGGCGAAGAACAGCUACACUUCUCCCUCAAACUCAUGACAGGAAUGGAGUCUUCUAGCGUGGUUUUGUUUCUGAUCUUAAUCUGACGAUCUUAACCUGUCCUACAGAUGACUGGAGGUAUGAGCGACCAUCUAACACUUACUUUCUGGGAGAUUUCAUAAACCUGGAAGUGUCAGUGGUGCGUGCUAAUCGCGUUCCUCUGCGGGUGUUUGUGGAACGCUGCGCAGCUACUUUGGGCCGCAGCGGGGAAGCUGCCUCCAUGUACACGAUCAUCGAGAACAGCGGAUGCAGGAUGGAUGCCAGGCUGACAAAUUCCAGGUUCAUGUCCAGGAUACAGGAUGACAAGUUAUAAUUUCCGAUUGAGGCGUUCAGAUUUCAGCAACAUUCCCUCGGAGAGAUCCCACACUGGAAGAUGAGGCUAUACUAUUGGGCUGAUUUUUGUCCGUGAACAGCUGUCAAUGGAGGAUGAGCCUCUACUGCAAAUUCACAAGUCCUCUCAGAUGUCGUCAAAAGAUCCAGGUCACCAUGUUGACAUCUUUCAGAAAAAUCUGGAUCUUGCAGACCCCAAACUUUUGAACGAGUUCUCCAUGGAGUUGGUGCUCAUGGCUGCUUUGGUGGUUGCAGAUGGACUUUUGUGUGUCAUUAUCCUUGGAAAGUUGCUUUACCAAAGGUGCAGAAACGACUUGUGUUGACUUGUGAAUGAUGAUGAUAAAAGCGGUUUUAUCUAAAUGGGUGCUUUGUUUCUUUGGUCUGGUGUUGCCUGCAGUUAGUUGGUUAAAGCCCAUUAGCUUCUUGUUUCUGUUCUGGGGAUCCCAUUUGUAGUAAAUGACCCUUCAGCUUUUAAAAGGGCUGAUGCAGCGCUAUUUACCGGUUUGAAGCAUAGUUACAACUUGCUACUCAACGAUUUUUCAGUUUGCUGUAAAAGUGACACUGGUGUAUGUGACUGAGUGUGCUUAUAUGCUUUUAGAGUACAAAAAAGUUCAAUUCAAAUGAAACGUUCUCGCUUAUAAGAUUGUUCAACCACUUUUUAUUAAGAACAUAUUGAGUGUCAAAUCAAACUAAGUUUGAAUGUAUGAAAAAGUGAGGGGUCACCGAGAUAGUUUCUUACAAAUGUUAUUCUUUGUGUGUAUAUAUUUUAAAAAUCAGGGAGCACAACAAUCUUUUUUGAGCAGCAAAUCAGCAUGUUAGUAUGAUUUCUGAAGGAUCAUGUGACACUGAAGACCGGAGGAAUGAUGAUGAAAA